AUGUGAGGGCUACCUGGCUGUGACAUCUGUCACACCACUGAUCACCAGGGUGGAUCUGGCUGAUCUGGCUGCCAAGGCACAGUCCCCUUCCUCUCCCACUUUU
rnacentral:snRNA from 1 species